UGAAGUCAGACACAUGCAUAACCAGCCGAGUGUGAGGCAGCUUGGCUGCAUUAUGCUAUUUAAUGUCAUGGUUUAUUGGUUUGAGAGAAAACCAUCGGAAAAACCGUAAGACGCUGGAUGGACUACAUCUGGAUUCGCAUGGAAAAAAGGAUCCAAAAAGAGAAACUGACGUGGGAUGCUGGGACCCAGAAGUUGUGUUCAGCUGCACCACACCCUCAUCGGCGACAGCGCCUCUGCACCACAACUUCUUGAUCUCUUCAGAGAUAUCAGGAAACUGAAGUUGGAGAAAACAACCUGGUGAUGCAAAUGGGACCACAACUGAUCGAUCGGAGAUGAGGAGGCUGCUGUAGCCAUCUGCACCAACCUGUUUGGUCCUGAGAGAUGAGACUGACUUGAUGACAUCUUGAAGGGACUUGAUCAUUGGAGGGAAGGUCAGUUAGCUUUACCUGAGUCCACCACUGCCUUGGAUGACUGCAGCAACUGAACUGUAACCUUUCCUCUGAAGGAUUUGAGUUUUUUCAAGUUGUCAGUGUUUCUUGAGUAUUUGAAAACAGUUUGAAUUUUGGAGCUUUAACAGGGCUCGGGUUGCACAGGGCUAGGUUGUUUUUCCAUCAUUAAAUGGUGGAAGUACCUGGGCAGGCUAGUUGUUAGAUCAAUGAGCGAUUCUCCAUAUACAUGAAGUUGAGCUUUGAUAUGUUUUCUAAAUCAUCACCACCCAAAUUUUUGAUAACUUUUACUUUAGGGUUCAGGGUUAAAUUUCUGAGUUGUUUCGCUCUGCCAAGUUUCAAGGGGGAGACUCGUGCUUCAGGUAGGCCUGGGGAGGGAAAGCUUUGCAUUUCGUAUGCUCAUUAGAUUUUUCCAGAUGUGGGAGGCCUCCCAGCAGGGGAAUUUAUCCCGCCCCUGCAAAGUAUUAUCGCUGAUGUCAGGAUACAUUUAGCAGUUUCAUAGGUAGAUAGGAUUGUUGUCAGAGCUCUACUGCGCGGUACUUGCGAUACCAACCGGGGGUGAGGUUUUUGGGAGGGAGCAAGCCUGACAGAGACAGACAGCUCAGAUGACUAAAUAAGCUCUGGGACACUCACUUUGGAUGUAUUUGCCUUAUUCUCCAUGAUGGUGAUGACUAUGAAAACUAUCCACUCACCCCAACCGGCCGAGGCAGGAGGCCGCCCACCUUGAGCCCGGGUCUGUCGGACCUGUUCUGUUCUUCCAGAAGUAAAGGGAGUUUUUUUUCCUCUCCACUGUCGCUAAGUGCUUGCUCAAGGGGGGUUUGUUGGGGUUCUGUCUAAUGAUAAUACUAAAGUUUAGGACUCUAGGCCUUACUAUGUGUCCUAAGAGGACUUUUGUUGUGAUUUGGUGCUUUACAAGUAAAACUGAAUUGUACUGUCAAGUGUAGAGGUUGACGCCAUGUAAAAUCGUUUUUCCAGCCAUAGCUGUCGCCUGUGCAGAGGCAUAAAAAUGUAAACAGUUGUCAAAAUACUGUUAAUGAAGCAUCAGAUAUUUCUUAAACACAAUUUGUGUGUAAAAUUGUAAUUUAUAAAAAUUGUAACUGAAAUAAAU